rnacentral:tRNA from 1 species
GCCAGGAUCGCAUAACCAGGUAUUGCACUCGAUUGAGCAUCGGGGUGCCCUAUCGGGCUGUCUGGGUUCAAAUCCCAGUCCUGGCG